rnacentral:misc_RNA from 1 species
GAUGAAGAACGCAGCGAAACGCGAUAUGUAAUGUGAAUUGCAGAAUUCAGUGAAUCAUCGAAUCUUUGAACGCACAUGGCGCCUUCCAGUAUCCUGGGAGGCAUGCCUGUCCGAGCGUCGUUUCAACCCUCGAGCCCCCGUGACCCGGCGUUGGGGAUCUGCCACGGCAGGCCCCUAAAACCAGUGGCGGACCCGAAGGCCCUCUCCUUUGCGCAGUAGCAUCAGCCUCGCAUUGGGAUCCCUCGGCGUCCUGCCUCUAAACCCCCCACAAGUCCGCUCCGGCGGCACCAAGGUUGACCUCGGAUCAGGUAGGAAUACCCGCUGAACUUAAGCAUAUCAAUAAGCGGAGGA